ensembl:lncRNA
CCGGCCCAGAGCUCGGGGCGGGGAACACAGGGCCGCCUCGCCCCGCCCCCGCCCCGCCCCCUCCGCCCCACCUCCCCUACUCCGUCCCUCCCGCGUGCAAACUAGGCGCCCCACCCGCUCCUGACCUUCCUAGCCCCUCCUCUGGCUCCGCCUCUUCCCGAGAUGGGACCCCCAAACACACGCCCGGGGGCUCUCUCCACACCCCAAGAGUCCUAUCUGUGCCUCCCGAGUGCAAGUUCACCCAAGUGGUGAGUUUUUACGGACUCCCUUCCUCGCUUGAAAGAGACCUUCUUUGGCUACCCGCCCCCUGUCCGGUGGCUCCGACGUGGCUACUUUGCAGGAUGGGCUGUAUAAAGGGCUAGAGGCAGAUCUACCCAAACCAGAGACGUGGCGUCUGCUAGACCGGCCUAGGCUCCAGGACCAUAGAUUCAAAAGGAGGUGGAUAGAAGCUCAAAUUGCCACGAUCUUGUUGUGUCUGUCACCUUUCAAAUGAAAGAAUUAAGUGAAACCAU